AUGGAGAUGAAGAUCCUUAUUUCUACCUUCAUCCAACCAUGCCUUGGUUUCAUCCCUCCCAAUUAACCUCCUAUUAGUUUAAAUCUUCAUCUUUAGGCCCCUAUCUCCUCUCAAGGCUUCAUUCUUAACAUUAAGGUUCUAUAACUUUUAUAUACUAUAAUCAAACUAAGUAAGGAAAACAAAAUAAAGUUUUUUCAUACCAACUCUUUUUAAUUUAAUCUAUUAUCCACUCUAACAUACAUUUAGAUUUAUUAACAUUUAAUGUGUUCUAAUUAAUUUUUACAUA
rnacentral:lncRNA from 1 species